rnacentral:rRNA from 1 species
CGAAAAAUAACGAUACGGGACUCAUCCGAGGCCCCGUAAUCGGAAUGAGUACACUCUAAACCCUUUAACGAGGAUCAAUUGGAGGGCAAGUCUGGUGCCAGCAGCCGCGGUAAUUCCAGCUCCAAUAGCGUAUAUUAAAGUUGUUGCGGUUAAAAAGCUCGUAGUCGAAUUUGUGUCCCGCGCCGCCGGUUCAUCGCUCGCGGUGUCAACUGGCGUGUCGCGGGACGUCCUGCCGGUGGGCUUAGCCCCUCCGAGGGCGGCCCAAUCUCAAUCCCACCGCGGUGCUCUUCACUGAGUGUCGAGGUGGGCCGGCACGUUUACUUUGAACAAAUUAGAGUGCUUAAAGCAGGCUAAAACAUCGCCUGAAUACUGUGUGCAUGGAAUAAUGGAAUAGGACCUCGGUUCUAUUUUGUUGGUUUUCGGAACCCCGAGGUAAUGAUUAAUAGGAACGGAUGGGGGCAUUCGUAUUGCGACGUUAGAGGUGAAAUUCUUGGAUCGUCGCAAGACGGACAGAAGCGAAAGCAUUUGCCAAAAACGCUUUCAUUGAUCAAGAACGAAAGUUAGAGGUUCGAAGGCGAUCAGAUACCGCCCUAGUUCUAACCAUAAACGAUGCCAGCUAGCGAUCCGCCGACGUUCCUCCGAUGACUCGGCGGGCAGCUUCCGGGAAACCAAAGCUUUUGGGUUCCGGGGGAAGUAUGGUUGCAAAGCUGAAACUUAAAGGAAUUGACGGAAGGGCACCACCAGGAGUGGAGCCUGCGGCUUAAUUUGACUCAACACGGGAAACCUCACCAGGCCCGGACACCGGAAGGAUUGACAGAUUGAGAG